rnacentral:lncRNA from 1 species
AAUUAUUACAUAAUUAGAUUGAUUCUUCCUCUGUUUAAAAAAAUACCCAAAGGAAAAGGUUUAAAAAAUGACAAAAUUCAAGAAACACAACAAAAGUUUUCAUUAUCAAGCGUUGAUGUCGAGCGCUGAGCAUCGGAUUGCAGAAACAGCUGGUGGUGGGGCAGGGAGAUGGUGAUCAAAAGCUGAUGUUAAAUAUUACACGGUCAACGUAUUAUCCCCAAAUCUGAAACGUUUGAACACAGAAGAGAACGAAAGAAGACGUACAAAAGGAGAAGAGUGAAUUUUAAAGGUGAAUAUUAAAAAUCAUUUGAUUUUGCAUCCAUCUGUAAUUCAUAAUAAACCGUGAGGUUUAACUCAUAAAUCAGGUUUUCAAUGGAAUCAUUAGAAUUUUUCACAAAAAACAUUUCUUUUCUUUUACCAACUAAAGCUAGUGACUAAGUUCAUAUGCAUUACACCACCUGUAGGUAAAAUACAUGAUUUGGUUAAAACACUCACUUCUAAGGUUGGUAGCUGCGUUCCCUUUGUUGGCAUUGGCAGGCUUGGUUCCCUGACCAUCACCCAUGUCUUUUAACUUUCAGCUGAAAUAAAAUUCUAAACAUUUACAAACCAAUAACUUAAACUAAGAGAACAACAAUCGAAUUCAAAUCCAAGCACAAUCUUCGGUUACCAGAUUUAGAACAACUCUUUGUUCUAAAUCUUUAAUAUCACAUAAUAACUUUUGAAUCACCCACAAGUUUUUUUUUUUUUUUUAAACCUACAAUAUUUUUUUAGUACCUGAUUGUAGAGGUGAUAGAACAUUCCCACCGAAAAGAGACCAGUCACAAACUUAGUCAUACAC